GAUGAACGCUAGCGGCAGGCUUAACACAUGCAAGUCGAGGGGCAGCAUGAAGGUUAGCAAUAACCUUUGAUGGCGACCGGCGCAAGGGUGCGUAACGCGUGAGCAACUUGCCCGUUUCAGGGGGAUAACCGGUGGAAACGCCGACUAAUACCCCAUGGCAUCAUUAGGAGGCAUCUCCUUCUGAUUAAAGAAUUUCGGAAACGGAUAGGCUCGCGUGACAUUAGCUAGACGGCGGGGUAACGGCCCACCGUGGCGACGAUGUCUAGGGGUUCUGAGAGGAAGGUCCCCCACACUGGAACUGGAGACGACGGUCCAGACUCCGUACGGGAGCAGCAGUGAGGAAUAUUGGU
rnacentral:rRNA from 1 species